AUUGAACGCUAGCGGGAUGCUUUACACAUGCAAGUCGAACGAGUGGCGGACGGGUGAGUAAUAUAUCGGAACGUGCCCAGUAGCGGGGGAUAACUACUCGAAAGAGUUGCUAAUACCGCAUACUAUUUGAGCGGCCGAUACCGGAUUAGCUAGUUGGUGGGGUAAAGACUCAACACGGCAACGAUCCGUAGCUGGUUUGAGAGGACGGCCAGCAACACUGGUACUGAGACACGGCCCAGACUCCUACGGGAGGCAGCAGUAGGGAAUGUUGGACAAUGGGGGAAACGCUGAUCCAGCCAUCCCGCGUGUAUGAGAAGGCCUUCGGGUUGUAAAGUACUUUUGGCAGAGAAGCGGUAUCUGCAGAAUAAGGACCGGCUAACUACGUGCCAGCAGCCGCGGUAAUUC
rnacentral:rRNA from 1 species